UGUGGUGUGUGUGUAGAAUGAAGCUGAAAGUGCACCAGAGUUGGAUUACAGUUCCAUGCCCCUGCUAGCAGCUCUCCUCCACAGGUGGGGCAGAGAAUUGCCUUUAAGCUGCUGGAGCUAACGGAGAGCUACACGCCAGCGGUGUCACAGUAUAAAGAGGGAAAGCUUUUGAGUGUUGACCCAGCCACCAAUCAGAUUGAGGUGGAGUUAACAAAUGCUUCUGAUGCUCCUUUAGAGCCUGGAAAGUUGACUUGGUGUAUCAGAACCCAGAUGGGUCGGAGAGAGUAGAGUACGCUGUGUCCAGAGGCUCUUUGGUACAGCAUAAGCCCUAUGUACGAGGUAAUAGUA